AUGAGGCCACUAAGGGAUAUUGGGCAAGUUGGAGGCGCCAACGAGAUCGACAAACAAAGCUUGCAGGUCGUCCAAGUGCUCUGGAGCGAAUGGGAGAUUCAUUGCCUCAUACUUGCAAGCUUUGGCCUACAAGUAUUCCUCUUCUUCACAGCAGGCAUGCGGAGGCACAACGUGUCCCGCAUCCUCAACUCUCUUAUAUGGCUAGCCUACUUAUCUACCGAUUCUGUGGCCAUUUUUGUUCUCGGUCAUCUCGCGGUCCAUGCGAAUGGCUCACACCAUCUUCUUAUCUUCUGGACACCAUUCCUACUCCUACACUUGGGAGGGCAAGACACUAUCACUGCCUUCUCCAUGCAAGACAACGAGCUCUGGCAACGACACCUGCUAGGAUUGAUCACCCAAGCAUCGGUGGCUGGCUACAUAAUCACCAUAUCGUCUUGGCAAGACAGUCGCCUCCUUGCUGCCACGGUGCUCAUGUUCUUGUCUGGGGUUUUCAAGUACAUUGGGCGCACCUUUUGCCUUUGCUCAUCUCGAACAUUUCUCCUCACAGAUGCUACCGUGCCUAUUUUGGAUAGAUAUGUACGCGGUGUAUACUAUACACCGACUCUUUUGACUAGGGGGCCUUCCGAGGAUAUACUAAAGCAAGUAGUGCAUGAUAUGAUGAUUAACCAGGAUGAUGUGAAGCUGCCACCCGUUGACAAUUUCGCACAAAUACUGAUGGAUACUCCACUCAAUGAUAGGGAUACUAUUGAAUGUGCAUCUAUCAUACCAGGCUUGCUCAAUGUGCUCAAGUCUAGUGCAAACCGCUCCAAUACCUAUGUUUAUGUCGGCACACUACUUGUUCGUUCUUAUGAACGCAUCUACACCAAGGGUUUGCUUAAUAUGUUCUGGAUUUUCCCUAUCCGUACAAUAAUGUCCAAAGAUUCCGAGGACAAAAUCACAGCCAUAGUAUUUCUUCACAUUGCUUCACUCCUCUUGCUCUUCCCACUUAUCUCGGCCUUGAUAACAUUGCGUCUCUUUAUGGCUUCUGAAAAAGCCGAACUCUACAACACGACUGAUGUCAUAGUCUCCUACAUAUUACUCGUAGGGGCCAUAAUCCUUGAGGUGGCAUCUCUCUUCAUGUCCAUUCUUUCCUACUUUGCAUCAAGGGAAGCACCAACAUGUUAUCCACUUACGAAUGUAGUCUUGCGUGUAGCCAACUAUAUUCACCCUGCGGGCAGACACAGAAAACGCUGGUCCAAAAUGCUUGGACAAUAUAACAUGUUGGAACAUCACACCAGACAAAAGUCCACAGGCAUCGUGCCAAUUGUAUCAACAUGGAUUGGCAAGCCAUUUUCAAGAAUUGCCGUUAGUAAAGAGCUCGAGGAGCUUGUCCUUGAUAAGCUGCUAGAAUUGGGAACAGGUGACCAAGAAUGCUGGAACUUUGCUAGCUUCCGUGGACAGCUAGCGCUUCAGAGAUGGACUGAUAUGCGCACGAUCAUUAACAAUGCUGACCUGCCAACAAGUGUGUUGAUCUGGCACAUUGCAACAGAGAUAUAUUACUUGAGAGAAAAUAGCAUCACCUGUCCUGAUCAAACUAAGAAAAUAAGAGCGAUCAGAGAGCUAUCAAACUAUACCAUGUAUCUUGUCUUCACGUGUGAUGUGAUGCUUACGACCAGCUCCAAGCUCGUACAUGUUAACACUCAGAAGGAAUCAAGCAAACUCUUCGAGGGUGUGUUAAUCGUGGUAUGA
rnacentral:rRNA from 1 species